rnacentral:rRNA from 22 species
UUAAAUUGAAGAGUUUGAUCAUGGCUCAGAUUGAACGCUGGCGGCAGGCCUAACACAUGCAAGUCGAACGGUAACAGGAAGCAGCUUGCUGCUUC